UGUUUACAUUAUUUGGAAUAAAUGACCGAGAAAGGCACUUGCUUGUGAUGUAGAAGCACAGUAUGCACGCCAUCUUUCUUCUUUGUUCUCGAAUUGAUAUGGUUACCAGAAUACUCAGAAAGCCCUCCAACUGAAUUUGCCCAGGUGAAAAGCAAACUGACGUCAGCAUCUGUUUUUCCAGAAUUAUGCAGCGUGAAAGUAAAAACUG
rnacentral:misc_RNA from 1 species